rnacentral:rRNA from 1 species
UACGUAGGGGGCUAGCGUUGUCCGGAAUCAUUGGGCGUAAAGCGCGUGUAGGCGGCCCGGUAAGUCCGCUGUGAAAGUCCAGGGCUCAACCCUGGGAUGCCGGUGGAUACUGUCGGGCUCGAGUCCGGAAGAGGCGAGUGGAAUUCCUGGUGUAGCGGUGAAAUGCGCAGAUAUCAGGAGGAACACCAAUGGCGAAGGCAGCUCGCUGGGACGUGACUGACGCUGAGACGCGAAAGCGUGGGGGAGCAAACAGG